GAUGAACGCUAGCGGCAGGCUUAAUACAUGCAAGUCGAGGGGCAGCAGGUUUGUAGCAAUACAGAUGCUGGCGACCGGCAAACGGGUGCGGAACACGUACACAACCUUCCUUUAAGUGGGGAAUAGCCCAGAGAAAUUUGGAUUAAUACCCCGUAACAUUAUGAUGUGGCAUCACAUUAUAAUUAUAGCUCCGGCGCUUAAUGAUGGGUGUGCGGCUGANAGGUAGUUGGCGGGGUAACGGCCCACCAAGCCUUCGAUCAGUAACUGGUGUGAGAGCACGACCAGUCACACGGGCACUGAGACACGGGCCCGACUCCUACGGGAGGCAGCAGUAAGGAAUAUUGGGCAAUGGAGGCAACUCUGACCCAGCCAUGCCGCGUGGAGGAUGAA
rnacentral:rRNA from 1 species